GCAGAAAACGCAAAAAAACAUACUAAGUAUAAAAACAAUAUCAACUUAAAUAUUAUUCAAUAAUAAAUGUACAAUUUAUAUAAGAUUUCUAAAAUUAUCUUUCUUCUUUCUUCAAAUCUAAAUGGGAUCUUUCAAUAUAGAUGAUAAAUGUUCAAAGGAUAUCCAAAUAGUUGAAGAAUAUAAUGAAGAAUAGGAUUUUAGUGUAGCAGGAAUGGUUGAAGAGAAGAAAUCGGGUUACUGUGAUUUUCGAGACCAAAAAUUGAAUUGGGGAAUUUAAUUGGAUUGAUAAGGGUGUUAGGGUUUUUUCCAAUAAUGAGGGUAUUUAUGACAUUUGACAUUAUUUGUUUAUUGUGCUUAAUAGUUAAAGGCUAUUUGUUCAAAAAACAUUGAAAGAAGGUUAUAUAACCAAUAACAUUAUUUGACUAGGAUUUUUAACAAAUUCCCCCCUGCUGGAAAUGAUUUUGAUGCACUUUACCCAGAAUGGAGGGAUUUGUGCAAUAGUCAAUUCAAAUAUUCUGCUUACACUUGCUUAAUUUUCCUAGUUAAAUUUUUAUCGACAUCCAAUCUCAGAUUAUUGCUUCUAGUGAGACA
rnacentral:lncRNA from 1 species